GAUGAACGCUGGCGGCGUGCCUAAUACAUGCAAGUCGAGCGAACGGACGCGAAGCUCGCUUCUCUGAUGUUAGCGGCGGACGGGUGAGUAAUACGUGGAUAACCUACCUAUAAGACUGGAAUAAGUUCGGGAAACCGGAGCUAAUACCGGAUGAUAUUUUGAACCGCAUGGUUGAAAAGUGAAAGACGGUCUUGCUGUCACUUAUAGAUGGAUCCGCGCUGCAUUAGCUAGUUGGUAAGAUAACGGCUUACCAAGGCAACGAUGCAUGGCCGACCUGGGAGGGUGUUGGCCGCCACUGGAACUGGGACGCGGUCCUGACGCCUACGGGAGGCACCGGUAGGGAAUCUUCCGAGAUGGGCGGAAGCUUGACGGAGCAACGCCGGCUGAGUGAUGAAGGGCCUCGGGUCGUAAAACUCUGUUAUUAUUGAAGAACAUAUGUGUAAGUAACUGUGCUCAUCGUGACGGUACCUAGACAGAAAGCCCCGGCUAACUACGUG
rnacentral:rRNA from 1 species